rnacentral:rRNA from 1 species
CUUUAGCUAUGUGAAAGCCUUCGGCUCAACCGAAGAAGUGCAUUGGAAACUGGGAGACUUGAGUGCAGAAGAGGACAGUGGAACUCCAUGUGUAGCGGUGAAAUGCGUAGAUAUAUGGAAGAACACCAGUGGCGAAGGCGGCUGUCUGGUCUGCAACUGACGCUGAGGCUCGAAAGCAUGGGUAGCGAACAGGAUUAGAUACCCUGGUAGUCCAUGCCGUAAACGAUGAUUACUAAGUGUUGGAGGGUUUCCGCCCUUCAGUGCUGCAGCUAACGCAUUAAGUAAUCCGCCUGGGGAGUACGACCGCAAGGUUGAAACUCAAAAGAAUUGACGGGGGCCCGCACAAGCGGUGGAGCAUGUGGUUUAAUUCGAAGCUACGCGAAGAACCUUACCAGGUCUUGACAUCUUCUGACAGUCUAAGAGAUUAGAGGUUCCCUUCGGGGACAGAAUGACAGGUGGUGCAUGGUUGUCGUCAGCUCGUGUCGUGAGAUGUUGGGUUAAGUCCCGCAACGAGCGCAACCCUUAUUACUAGUUGCCAGCAUUAAGUUGGGCACUCUAGUGAGACUGCCGGUGACAAACCGGAGGAAGGUGGGGACGACGUCAAAUCAUCAUGCCCCUUAUGACCUGG